rnacentral:rRNA from 1 species
UACAGAGGGGGCAAGCGUUGUUCGGAAUUACUGGGCGUAAAGGGCGCGUAGGCGGCCUGUUAAGUCGAACGUGAAAUCCCCGGGCUCAACCCGGGAACUGCGUCCGAUACUGGCAGGCUUGAAUCCGGGAGAGGGAUGCGGAAUUCCAGGUGUAGCGGUGAAAUGCGCAGAUAUCAGGAGGAACACCGAUGGCGAAGGCAGGUCUCUGGGACGGUACUGACGCUGAGACGCGAAAGCGUGGGGAGCGAACAGG